UACGAAGGGUGCAAGCGUUACUCGGAAUUACUGGGCGUAAAGCGUUCGUAGGUGGUUUGUUAAGUCUGUUGUGAAAGCCCCGGGCUCAACCUGGGAAUUGCAUUCGAUACUGGAUAGCUAGAGUUCGGCAGAGGGAAGUGGAAUUUCUGGUGUAGCGGUGAAAUGCGUAGAUAUCAGAAGGAACAUCAGUGGCGAAAGCGACUUCCUGGACCAGAACUGACGAUCAGGCACGAAAGCGUGGGGAGCAAACAGG
rnacentral:rRNA from 1 species